AGAACACCACCAUGACCACCUCCAAGGUGACUAUAGACGUCCUGUGAGCCAACACAAUGUCUUCUUCAUUCCUAUGUUCCUCAGACACAGCACAGAGCCACACGAACGGAAGCAUAAAAACAACUUACAAUUCUCAAUUUAGAAGAUCUUACUUUAAUGGGAGCUCAUAUUUAUACUCCUCCCAAGACACACACACAAUAGUCUCUGUACAUACCGUUAAAUUUAGUCCUUUUUUCUUUUUCAAAAAGGAAGCAUCUGGAAUGCUUCAAUAACGAAAAAAGUACAUGUCAAACCAACAAAUACACCUUCUGAUGUCAAAUUUAUUGUGGAUAUAUUUUGAAAAUUUCUUCUCUGGUGCAUCUUUAAAUAACAAGUCAUAUACUAUGGAAAAAAGUUGUCAGUAAUUAUCAAAAAGCUCAGAGGCACUUGUUCAGCAGCCAAGAAUGAGAAAUUCAAGCAAACGGC
rnacentral:lncRNA from 1 species